rnacentral:rRNA from 1 species
UACGAGGGGGGCAAAUGUUGUUCGGAAUCACUGGGCGUAAAGGGAGCGUAGGCGGGCUUCUAAGUUAGGUGUUUAAUCCCAGGGCCCAACUCUGGUCAGGCACCUAAAACUGGGAGUCUUGAAUAGUGGAGAGGACGAUGGAAUUGGGGGUGUAGCGGUGGAAUGCGUAGAGAUCCCCAAGAACACCAGUUGCGAAGGCGGUCGUCUGGACACAUAUUGACGCUGAGGCUCGAAAGCAUGGGGAGCAAACAGG